ensembl:miRNA
UGCGGGGCUAGGGCUAACAGCAGUCUUACUGAAGGUUUCCUGGAAACCACACACAUGCUGUUGCCACUAACCUCAACC